UUACUAGUCACCUGGGGAUCUUGUUAAAAUGCAGGUUUCUAUUCAGGAGGUCUGGGAUGGGGUCUGAGGCCCUGCAAGUCUAACAAGCUCCCAGGUGGUUCUGAU
rnacentral:pre_miRNA from 1 species